rnacentral:tRNA from 1 species
GCCAAUGUAGCUCAGAGGUAGAGCACUUCCUUGGUAAGGAAGAGGUCAGGGGUUCAAUUCCCCUCAUUGGCUCAA